AUUGAACGCUGGCGGCAUGCCUUACACAUGCAAGUCGAACGGCAGCACGGGGGCAACCCUGGUGGCGAGUGGCGAACGGGUGAGUAAUGCAUCGGAACGUGCCCCGUAGCGGGGGAUAACCAGUCGAAAGACUGGCUAAUACCGCAUACGCUCCACGGAGGAAAGCAGGGGAUCGCAAGACCUUGCACUAUGGGAGCGGCCGAUGCCCGAUUAGCUAGUUGGUGAGGUAAAGGCUCACCAAGGCGACGAUCGGUAGCUGGUUUGAGAGAACGACCAGCCACACUGGGACUGAGACACGGCCCAGACUCCUACGGGAGGCAGCAGUGGGGAAUUUUGGACAAUGGGCGCAAGCCUGAUCCAGCCAUGCCGCGUGCGGGAUGAAGG
rnacentral:rRNA from 1 species